rnacentral:rRNA from 1 species
GUAGGGAAUCUUGCGCAAUGGGCGAAAGCCUGACGCAGCCAUGCCGCGUGAAUGAUGAAGGUCUUAGGAUUGUAAAAUUCUUUCACCGGGGACGAUAAUGACGGUACCCGGAGAAGAAGCCCCGGCUAACUUCGUGCCAGCAGCCGCGGUAAUACGAAGGGGGCUAGCGUUGCUCGGAAUUACUGGGCGUAAAGGGAGCGUAGGCGGAUAGUUUAGUCAGAGGUGAAAGCCCAGGGCUCAACCUUGGAAUUGCCUUUGAUACUGGCUAUCUUGAGUAUGGAAGAGGUAAGUGGAAUUCCGAGUGUAGAGGUGAAAUUCGUAGAUAUUCGGAGGAACACCAGUGGCGAAGGCGGCUUACUGGUCCAUUACUGACGCUGAGGUGCGAAAGCGUGGGGAGCAAACAGGAUUAGAUACCCUUGUAGUCC